ACAACCAGAGGGACAAACCAAGUGGCUCGGAGGAGGAGGCACACACUCUCCUCGAACAUGUAAUCAUGGAUACAGCCAUCAAGCGAGCGAUGAACAUUAAGGAACUCGAACGGGUUCUUGCACUGGGGACAAGAAGUUUUCUGACUGUAUGUUGCCCAUCUCAGGAUGCAUGUCACACAGUAAGCAUGCUCGCAACCCUUAACAAGAGCCGUCUCCUGGAUGAGGAUCCUAUUCAAACAUAUCGCGCAGAUCCCGCCGCUCUCCGCCGGUCCCUCUGAUUCCCCACACCCGUCACCGUCGGCGCAGCCGCUGCUCUCGACAUCAAGCACCACCUGCGAA
rnacentral:misc_RNA from 1 species